GACGUAGGGCGCGAGCGUUGUCCGGAUUUAUUGGCGUAAAGAGCUCGUAGGCGGCUUGUCGCGUCGACUGUGAAAUCCCCGCGGCUCAACCGCGGGUCUGCAGUCGAUACGGGCAGGCUAGAGUUCGGUAGGGGGAGACGUGGAAUUCCUGUGUAGCGGUGAAAAUGCGCAGAUAUCAGGAGGAACACCGAUGGCGAAGGCAGGUCUCUGGGCCGGAUACUGACGCUGAGGAGCGAAAAGCGUGGGGAGCGAACAGG
rnacentral:rRNA from 1 species